AGAGUUUGAUCAUGGCUCAGGAUGAACGCUAGCGGCAGGCUUAACACAUGCAAGUCGAGAGGCAUCGCGGGUGGCAACACCUGGCGGCGACCGGCGAACGGGUGAGUAACGCGUGAGCAACAUGUCCUCAGUCGGGGGAUAAGCGAGGGAAACUUCGUCUAAUACCCCAUAACACUUUCAGGCGCAUGCCUUUAAGUUGAAAGCUUUUUUUGCGACUUUGGUUUGGCUCGCGUGACAUUAGCUAGUCGGUGGGGUAACGGCUCACCGAGGCUACGAUGUCUAGGGGUUCUGAGAGGAAGGCCCCCCACAUUGGGACUGGGACACGGCCCAAACUCCUACGGGAGGCAGCAGUGAGGAAUAUUGGUCAAUGGACGGAAGUCUGAACCAGCCAUGCCGCGUGAAGGAAGACUGCCCUAUGGGUUGUAAACUUCUUUUGCAGCAGAGCAAUAAGGCGUACGCGUACGCCGAUGAGAGUAUGUUGCGAAUAAGCAUCGGCUAACUCCGUGCCAGCAGCCGCGGUAAUACGGAGGAUGCGAGCGUUAUCCGGAUUUAUUGGGUUUAAAGGGUGCGUAGGCUGUUUUGUAAGUCAGCGGUGAAAGACCGGGGCCCAACUCCGGAAGUGCCGUCGAUACUGCAUUGCUAGAGUUCCCCUGCCGUGGGAGGAAUGAGUGGUGUAGCGGUGAAAUGCAUAGAUAUCACUCAGAACACCGAUUGCGAAGGCAUCUCACGAAGAGGCAACUGACGCUGAGGCACGAAAGCGUGGGGAUCAAACAGGAUUAGAUACCCUGGUAGUCCACGCUGUAAACGAUGAUGACUAGCUGCCGGCGAUACACUGUCGGUGGCCCAGCGAAAGCGAUAAGUCAUCCACCUGGGGAGUACGACCGCAAGGUUGAAACUCAAAUGAAUUGACGG
rnacentral:rRNA from 1 species